UACGGAGGGUGCAAGCGUUGUCCGGAUUUAUUGGGUUUAAAGGGUGCGUAGGCGGCCUUUUAAGUCAGUGGUGAAAGCCCGCGGCUCAACCGCGGAACUGCCAUUGAUACUGGAAGGCUUGAGUACAGACGAGGUAGGCGGAAUUGAAGAUGUAGCGGUGAAAUGCUUAGAUACCGCCAAGAACCCCGAUUGCGUAGGCAGCUCGCUGUGCCGAAACUGACGCUGAGGCACGAAAGCGUGGGGAGCGAACAGG
rnacentral:rRNA from 1 species